GAGAGUUUGAUCAUGGCUCAGGAUGAACGCUGGCGGCGUGCCUAACACAUGCAAGUUGAGCGAGAAAUCACUUAAAGAAGCUUCGGUAGACUUAAGAGAUGGAGAGCAGCGGACGGGUGAGUAACGCGUGGGAAACCUGCCCUUGACAGGAGGAUAGCCGAGAGAAAUUUCGGUUAAUACUUCAUAAAGCAGAGCAUUCGCAUGGAUGAACUGCCAAAGAAUUAUCGGUCAAGGAUGGUCCCGCGUCUGAUUAGCUGGUUGGUAAGGUAGCGGCUUACCAAGGCGACGAUCAGUAGCCGGUCUGAGAGGGUGAACGGCCACAUUGGAACUGAGACACGGUCCAGACUCCUACGGGAGGCAGCAGUGGGGAAUAUUGCACAAUGGGCGAAAGCCUGAUGCAGCAACGCCGCGUGAAGGAAGAAGGCUUUCGAGUCGUAAACUUCUAUCCAAAGGGAAGAAUAAUGACGAUACCUUUGAAGAAAGCCCCGGCUAACUACGUGCCAGCAGCCGCGGUAAUACGUAGGGGGCGAGCGUUAUCCGGAAUUACUGGGCGUAAAGAGUAUGUAGGUGGUUAAGUAAGCGUAGGGUUUAAGGCGACAGCCCAACUGUCGUAUGCCCCGCGAACUGUUUAACUUGAGUACAGGAGGGGAAGGCGGAAUUCCUAGUGUAGCGGUGAAAUGCGUAGAUAUUAUGAGGAACACCAGUGGCGAAAGCGGCCUUCUGGACUGUAACUGACACUGAGAUACGAAAGCGUGGGUAGCAAACAGGAUUAGAUACCCUGGUAGUCCACGCCGUAAACGAUGAGCACUAGUGUCGGGCUCGCAAGAGUUCGGUGCCGGAGCAAACGCAUUAAGUGCUCCGCCUGGGGAGUACGCACGCAGUGUGAAACUCAAGGAUUGACGGGACCCGCACAGCAGCGGAGCAUGUGUUUAUCGAGCACGCGAGACUUACAGACUGACAUCCACUGAAGCUCGUAAACUGAGCCUCUCGAACAUGAGACAGGUGGUGCAUGUGUCGUCAGCUCUGUCUGGAAUGUUUGGUAAGUCCCGACGAGGCAACCUUGGCGUAGUUGCAUCAUUAGCGCACUCUAAUGGGACUGUCGGAAUCGGGAAGGCGGAUAAUCCAUACAUGCCUUAUGAACUGGUUACACCCGCGUUAUCAAUAUGAAGU
rnacentral:rRNA from 1 species